CCUACGGGAGGCAGCAGUGGGGAAUCUUGCGCAAUGGGCGAAAGCCUGACGCAGCCAUGCCGCGUGAAUGAUGAAGGUCUUAGGAUUGUAAAAUUCUUUCACCGGGGACGAUAAUGACGGUACCCGGAGAAGAAGCCCCGGCUAACUUCGUGCCAGCAGCCGCGGUAAUACGAAGGGGGCUAGCGUUGCUCGGAAUUACUGGGCGUAAAGGGAGCGUAGGCGGAUAGUUUAGUCAGAGGUGAAAGCCCAGGGCUCAACCUUGGAAUUGCCUUUGAUACUGGCUAUCUUGAGUAUGGGAGAGGUAUGCGGAACUCCGAGUGUAGAGGUGAAAUUCGUAGAUAUUCGGAAGAACACCAGUGGCGAAGGCGGCAUACUGGCCCAUUACUGACGCUGAGGCUCGAAAGCGUGGGGAGCAAACAGGAUUAGAUACCCUGGUAGUCCACGCUGUAAACGAUGAGUGCUAGUUGUCGGCAUGCAUGCAUGUCGGUGACGCAGCUAACGCAUUAAGCACUCCGCCUGGGGAGUACGGUCGCAAGAUUAAAACUCAAAUGAAAUUGAACGG
rnacentral:rRNA from 1 species